AUUAAUAAAUAUUUAGACGGAAUUACAUCGCGAAACUUGGCAUGUGGUCUUCCUAUAUGAUGCUGAAGAGGGCUACAUAGUUUUCUCAAUAUCAAAAAUGAAGCGGAGUUGCCCUUUAAGACAGCAGGACGGUGGCCAUGGAAGUCGGAACCCGCUAAGGAGUGUGUAACAACUCACCUGCCGAAGCAACUAGCCCCGAAAAUGGAUGGCGCUCUAGUGUCGAGCCUAUCCCCGGCCGCUGCCGGCAGAUGCACGCAAACAAGGGGGUGCUAAGCUGCAGCGAGUAGGAGGGCCGCUGCGGUGAGCGUUGAAGGUGUCGGGCGUAAGCCCGCCUGGAGCCGCCGCUGGUGCAGAUCUUGGUGGUAGUAGCAAAUACUCAAGUGAGAACCUCGAGGACUGAAGUGGAGAAGGGUUCCAUGUGAACAGCAGUUGAACAUGGGUCAGUCGGUCCUAAGGGAAAGGAGAAGUUCUUUCCGAAGCGGGAGCACUUUUUUGCAGUGGAAAGAGCCCCGCAGUGACCGAAAGGGAAUCGGGUUAAUAAUCCCGAACCCGGACACGGAGAUUGGUCCUUCGGGGCCCAGUGCUGUAACGCAAACCAGCUCGGAGACGCCGAUGCGAGCCCCGGGAAGAGUUUUCUUUUCUCUGUAAGGAGAUCGAGUCCCUGGAAUGGGUUCGCCCCGAGAUAGGGAUGGUGGCUCCGUAGAGCAGUGCGGUCUUGCGCU
rnacentral:ncRNA from 1 species